rnacentral:rRNA from 1 species
GAAUAGCCGCGGGAAACCGCGGGUAAUGCCCGACGACCCGGGGACCGCGCAUGCGGCCCCCGGCAAAGCCCAGGCGGGAGGGGAUGGCUCCGCGGCCCAUCAGGUAGACGGCGGGGUGACGGCCCACCGUGCCGACAACGGGUAGCCGGGUUGAGAGACCGACCGGCCAGAUUGGGACUGAGACACGGCCCAGACUCCUACGGGAGGCAGCAGUGGGGAAUCUUGCGCAAUGGGGGCAACCCUGACGCAGCGACGCCGCGUGCGGGACGGAGGCCUUCGGGUCGUAAACCGCUUUCAGCAGGGAAGAGACAAGACUGUACCUGCAGAAGAAGCCCCGGCUAACUACGUGCCAGCAGCCGCGGUAAUACGUAGGGGGCGAGCGUUAUCCGGAUUCAUUGGGCGUAAAGCGCGCGUAGGCGGCCUGGCAGGCCGGGGGUCAAAUGCGGGGGCUCAACCCCCGCCCGCCCCCGGAACCUCCGCGGCUUGGGUCCGGUAGGGGAGGGUGGAACACCCGGUGUAGCGGUGGAAUGCGCAGAUAUCGGGUGGAACACCGGUGGCGAAGGCGGCCCUCUGGGCCGUGACCGACGCUGAGGCGCGAAAGCUGGGGGAGCGAACAGGAUUAGAUACCCUGGUAGUCCCAGCCGUAAACGAUGGACGCUAGGUGUGGGGGGACGAUCCCUCCGUGCCGAAG